rnacentral:rRNA from 1 species
GAUGAACGCUGGCGGCGUGCCUAACACAUGCAAGUCGAACGGAGUCGUUUUGGAAAUCUCUUCGGAGAUGGAAUUCUCGACUUAGUGGCGGACGGGUGAGUAACGCGUGAGCAAUCUGCCUUUAAGAGGGGGAUAACAGUCGGAAACGGCUGCUAAUACCGCAUAAAGCAUUAAAUUCGCAUGUUUUUGAUGCCAAAGGAGCAAUCCGCUUUUAGAUGAGCUCGCGUCUGAUUAGCUAGUUGGCGGGGUAACGGCCCACCAAGGCGACGAUCAGUAGCCGGACUGAGAGGUUGAACGGCCACAUUGGGACUGAGACACGGCCCAGACUCCUACGGGAGGCAGCAGUGGGGAAUAUUGCGCAAUGGGGGAAACCCUGACGCAGCAACGCCGCGUGAUUGAAGAAGGCCUUCGGGUUGUAAAGAUAUUUAAUCAGGGACGAAACAAAUGACGGUACCUGAAGAAUAAGCUCCGGCUAACUACGUG